rnacentral:tRNA from 1 species
GUCCCCAUCUUCUAGUCUGGUCCAGGAUGCUGCCCUUUCACGGCCGCGACGGGGGUUCGAAUCCCCCUGGGGACGCCA